GGCGGUUCUCUGGUAACACACCCCGGAAUUGGGCUCCUUCCUCUCUGGUUCGGGGUGCAUCACUGGAGAACCACA
rfam:Myotis lucifugus cont2.40182, whole genome shotgun sequence.